rnacentral:lncRNA from 1 species
AGUAAUUAAGUGGAAUACAGAGUAAAAAAAUAUUUACUCUAAAAGUGUUAUUUAAUCACACCCAAUAACCCUCUCCCUCGCUGGAUUUUAGUUAAACCAAUGAUUACCAUAUGAUCAUUAUCUAAUCAAAGAUAAAUAUACAACAUGCUAAGCACAAAAAAGAAGAUAAAUAUACAACAUCGAUUUGGAUCAUCCAAGAACUCUUAGUUAACGAGGUUUACAAAAAUAAAUAAUGAGAUUGUGGCGUCGAACAACAUAGACAUCGAGGUCAAAGGACUUAAGUGGUGCGUUAUGGACAUGGUGGCCAAUAUAUAAAUAAAGAUUAAAGAAUCCGACCAACGUUAAACAAUUCUGUCUGGAUGUGACAAUGACUCGACC